UUGGGUUUAAAGGGAGCGUAGGCGGAUUGUUAAGUCAGCGGUUAAAGGGUGUGGCUCAACCAUACAUUGCCGUUGAAACUGGCGAUCUUGAGUGCAGACAGGGAUGCCGGAAUUCGUGGUGUAGCGGUGAAAUGCUUAGAUAUCACGAAGAACUCCGAUCGCGAAGGCAGGUGUCCGGGCUGCAACUGACGCUGAGGCUCGAAAGUGUGGGUAUCAAACAGGAUUAGAUACCCUGGUAGUCCACACAGUAAACGAUGUAUACUCGCGGUUUGCGAUAGAUUGUAAGCCGCCAAGCGAAAGCAUUAAGUAUACCACCUGGGGAGUACGCCGGCAACGGUGAAACUCAAAGGAAUUGACGGGGGCCCGCACAAGCGGAGGAACAUGUGGUUUAAUUCGAUGCAACGCGAAGAACCUUACCUACUCUUGACAUCCAGAGAACUUUCCAGAGAUGGAUUGGUGCCUUCGGGAACUCUGAGACAGGUGCUGCAUGGCUGUCGUCAGCUCGUGUCGUGA
rnacentral:rRNA from 1 species